GUUUGAUGGCGACCGGCGCACGGGUGAGUAACACGUAUCCAACCUGCCGAUGACUCGGGGAUAGCCUUUCGAAAGAAAGAUUAAUACCCGAUGGCAUAGUUCUUCCGCAUGGUAGAACUAUUAAAGAAUUUCGGUCAUCGACGGGGAUGCGUUCCAUUAGGUUGUUGGCGGGGUAACGGGCCCACCAAGACUACGAUGGAUAGGGGUUCUGAGAGGAAGGUCCCCCACAUUGGAACUGAGACACGGUCCAAACUCCUACGGGAGGCAGCAUG
rnacentral:rRNA from 1 species